rnacentral:rRNA from 1 species
AAUCAACGCUGGCGGCGUGCCUCAGACAUGCAAGUCGAACGAUUAAAGCUCUCUUCGGAGAGUGUAUAGAGUGGCGCACGGGUGAGUAACACGUAAGUAAUCUACCUUUGAGUGGGGAAUAACGUCCGGAAACGGACGCUAAUACCGCAUAAUGCAGCGGCAUCGCAAGAUGACAGUUGUUAAAGAUUUAUCGCUUGAAGAGGAGCUUGCGGCAGAUUAGCUAGUUGGUAAGGUAAUGGCUUACCAAGGCUACGAUCUGUAACCGGUCUAAGAGGACGGUCGGUCACACUGACACUGAAUAACGGGUCAGACUCCUACGGGAGGCAGCAGUCGGGAAUUUUGGGUCAAUGGGCGAAAGCCUGACCCAGCAACGCCGCGUGAAGGAUGAAGUAUUUCGGUAUGUAAACUUCGAAAGAAUGGGAAGAAUCAAUGACGGUACCAUUUAUAAGGUCCGGCUAACUACGUGCCAGCAGCCGCU